AGAACGAACGCUGGCGGCAUGCCUAAUACAUGCAAGUCGAACGAACUCUUCGGAGUUAGUGGCGCACGGGUGCGUAACGCGUGGGAAUCUGCCCCUUGGUUCGGAAUAACAGUUGGAAACGACUGCUAAUACCGGAUGAUGACGAAAGUCCAAAGAUUUAUCGCCAAGGGAUGAGCCCGCGUAGGAUUAGCUAGUUGGUGAGGUAAAGGCUCACCAAGGCAACGAUCCUUAGCUGUCUGAGAGGAUGAUCAGCCACACUGGGACUGAGACACGGCCCAGACUCCUACGGGAGGCAGCAGUAGGGAAUAUUGGACAAGUGGGCGAAAGCCUGAUCCAGCAAUGCCGCGUGAGUGAUGAAGGCCUUAGGUUAGUAA
rnacentral:rRNA from 1 species